rnacentral:rRNA from 1 species
CCUACGGGUGGCUGCAGUGAGGAAUAUUGGUCAAUGGACGAGCGUCUGAACCAGCCAAGUCGCGUGAAGGAUGACUGCCCUAUGGGUUGUAAACUUCUUUUAUAAAGGAAUAAAACGAGGCACGUGUGCCUUUUUGCAUGUACUUUAUGAAAAAGGAUCGGCUAACUCCGUGCCAGCAGCCGCGGUAAUACGGGGGAUCCGGGCGUUAUCCGGAUUUAUUGGGUUUAAAGGGUGCGUAGGCGGGCUUUUAAGUCAGCGGUAAAAAUUCGGGGCUCAACCCCGUCCGGCCGUUGAAACUGGGGGCCUUGAGUGGGCGAGAAGUAUGCGGAAUGCGUGGUGUAGCGGUGAAAUGCAUAGAUAUCACGCAGAACCCCGAUUGCGAAGGCAGCCUUCCGGCGCCCUACUGACGCUGAGGCACGAAAGUGCGGGGAUCGAACAGGAUUAGAUACCCCAGUAGUC